CUACGGGCGGCUGCAGUGGGGAAUAUUGGACAAUGGGCGCAAGCCUGAUGCAGCCAUGCCGCGUGUAUGAAGAAGGCCUUCGGGUUGUAAAGUACUUUCAGCGGGGAGGAAGGGAGUAAAGUUAAUACCUUUGCUCAUUGACGUUACCCGCAGAAGAAGCACCGGAUAACUCCGUGCCAGCAGCCGCGGUAAUACGGAGGGUGCAAGCGUUAAUCGGAAUUACUGGGCGUAAAGCGCACGCAGGCGGUUUGUUAAGUCAGAUGUGAAAUCCCCGGGCUCAACCUGGGAACUGCAUCUGAUACUGGCAAGCUUGAGUCUCGUAGAGGGGGGUAGAAUUCCAGGUGUAGCGGUGAAAUGCGUAGAGAUCUGGAGGGAUACCGGUGGCGAAGGCGGCCCCCUGGACGAAGACUGACGCUCAGGUGCGAAAGCGUGGGGAGCAAACAGGAUUAGAUACCCGCGUAGUC
rnacentral:rRNA from 1 species